GACGAACGCUGGCGGCGUGCUUAACACAUGCAAGUCGAACGGAAAGGCCCUGCUUUUGUGGGGUGCUCGAGUGGCGAACGGGUGUGUAACACGUGAGUAACCUGCCCUUGACUUUGGGAUAACUUCAGGAAACUGGGGCUAAUACCGGAUAGGAGCUCCUGCUGCAUGUUGGGGGUUGGAAAGUUUCGGCGGAUGGGGAUGGACUCGCGGCUUAUCAGCUUGUUGGUGGGGUAGUGGCUUACCAAGGCUUUGACGGGUAGCCGGCCUGAGAGGGUGACCGGCCACAUUGGGACUGAGAUACGGCCCGGACGCAUACGGGCGGCAGGAGUGGGGAAUAUUGCACAAUGGGCGGAAGCAGGAUGCAGCAACGCCGCGUGCGGGAUGACGGCCUUCGGGUUGUAACCCGCUUUAGCGUGUGACGAAGCGUGAGGGACGGUAAUGGGCAAAGAAGCACCGGCUAACUACGU
rnacentral:rRNA from 1 species